AUUUUGUCCUGCGAAGUUGGUUUUGGAUUUUCACGAAUUAAUAAAUUCUGCUAAUGCAAUUUCUGCCUUGUCAUUGCAAGAACAUUCUAUUGGGUUCGGAUUGUCAUCUGCCGUAUCCGGAUGACUGGCAUGAGGCAUUGCCACUUCCCUGAGAUUGCGUCAUUGGAGCAGAUUCAAACGGUUGAAUUGGAGCAGUAGUCCGCCGAGGCCUUGCAUACGCUGGAGUCCAGAAUAAGCCACUCUAACCCCUUUCUUCUAUAUUCACUUGUAAACUAUUUCUUGUCCACCUGUUUCUGAUUAGAUAUUCUUGACAGGUGAAGGGCGUGAGCGCAAAGGAGACUCAGAAGCGAUACGGAUGCGGAAGCUGUACAAGCAAGGAAAAUGCCUGACUUGCAGGCAAACUCUGCAAUCUCUCACGGCUUUACUAGGACGAAGCUGGUCCAAUCU